GCCUCCUCCCCGAAGGCCCGUAGGCGGGGGCUCUUCCCAGUUGGGGUGCUCCGGGGUUCUGCCCCAGGAACCGGUCUCUUGGGGUGUGGGGGGAGGGAGGAAAGCUGUCUCCUCUUUGGGACGGGCCCUCUCCCCGAAACAUCUCGGCAGCGGUAAAUUCCCGCGCCGCUCUUGUUAUGGGUGCUCAUGCCCCUGCUCCAGUCCCAUGGCCCUGUGUGAGGUGUGUGUCUCCAUCACAGGUAUACAAGUGUUAUUUCAGCCCAUGUGCUGGCUGGCGUGCGUGCAACAGGCUAAUCCCAUUUCCAAGGCACCCCCUUCUACACCCGAGGGAGGCACUUACAGAGGUUCAGACUCCCAGGAACAGCUACAUGGUGGUGCUGAGCAAAGGGAAGCCCCAGAUGCUAAAUGAUCACAUAGCCAGCUGGGCCCAAAUGAAGAGGGUGUCUUCCUUGGAGCAGUUAGGGAAGAGGACAACUGCCCAAACCCAUGGCACAUCCCUGCUGGCAGAGGUGCACUGCUGUGCUGAUGGUGGUCAUCGAGCAGCGGAAAAGGAAUCCUGACCUCAGUCCUGCCAUCUGGCUGGCUUUUGGCCUGUGGCCACAUGGACCAGACUGUUGGUAGGUUCAGUGUCACUUCUGUUCAUGCAAGAUCUAAGCCCUGGGUAUUCUAAGAACAUGGUGCCCACAAGUUCAAGAAGGAAACCAGAGGGAAAGGCAUUAAUGGUACUAAGACAUUUAUUACAUCAUAAAAAGUCCACUGUUGUCGUUUUUCCAUAUGUACAUGUUCCUGUGGGCAGUCCCCCUGUCCAGCCCCAUCUGCCCACCCCCAAUGCCAAUCAGCUCUCCAAACUCACCAACAAAUUAAUAAAA